rfam:Oryzias latipes DNA, scaffold1830, strain: Hd-rR.
GUUGGAUAUGGGGACAUGCAUCCCGUGACUAUUGGUGGCAAAAUAGUGGGGUCACUUUGCGCAAUAGCGGGCGUGCUGACCAUUGCCUUACCAGUACCAGUGAUUGUGUCCAAC